GAUGAACGCUGGCGGCGUGCCUAAUACAUGCAAGUCGAGCGAACGGACGAGAAGCUUGCUUUUCUGGUGUUAGCGGCGGACGGGUGAGUAACACGUGGAUAACCUACCUAUAAGACUGGGAUAACUUCGGGAAACCGGAGCUAAUACCGGAUAAUAUUUUGAACCGCAUGGUUCAAAAGUGAAAGACGGUCUUGCUGUCACUUAUAGAUGGAUCCGCGCUGCAUUAGCUAGUUGGUAAGGUAACGGCUUACCAAGGCAACGAUGCAUAGCCGACCUGAGAGGGUGAUCGGCCACACUGGAACUGAGACACGGUCCAGACUCCUACGGGAGGCAGCAGUAGGGAAUCUUCCGCAAUGGGCGAAAGCCUGACGGAGCAACGCCGCAUGAGUGAUGAAGGUCUUCGGAUCGUAAAACUCUGUUAUUAGGGAAGAACAUAUGUGUAAGUAACUGUGCACAUCUUGACGGUACCUAAUCAGAAAGCCACGGCUAACUACGUG
rnacentral:rRNA from 1 species